rnacentral:rRNA from 1 species
UGAGGAACAUGACCUUCGGCGGGGGAUAGCCGGCCCAACGGCCGGGUAAUACCGCGUACGACCACAUGGGGACAUCCCUGAGUGGUGAAAGCAGCAAUGCGCCGAUGGAGUGCCUCGCGGCCUAUCAGCUAGUUGGUGAGGUAACGGCUCACCAAGGCGACGACGGGUAGCCGUCGUGAGGAGGACGACCGCGACCACGUCGGACUGUAGGACUACGGACCGAACGACCCGGUCCCCUAACGGGGAACGUC